rnacentral:rRNA from 1 species
AUUCCCCUAGUAACUGCGAGUGAAGCGGGAAAAGCUCAAAUUUAAAAUCUGGUGGUCUUUGGCCAUCCGAGUUGUAAUCUAGAGAAGCGUCUUCCGCGCUGGACCGUGCACAAGUCUCCUGGAAUGGAGCGUCAUAGAGGGUGAGAAUCCCGUCUUUGGCACGGACGCACCAGGGCUAUGUGAUGCGCUCUCGAAGAGUCGAGUUGUUUGGGAAUGCAGCUCAAAAUGGGUGGUGAACUCCAUCUAAAGCUAAAUAUUGGCGAGAGACCGAUAGCGAACAAGUACCGUGAGGGAAAGAUGAAAAGCACUUUGGAAAGAGAGUGAAACAGUACGUGAAAUUGUUGAAAGGGAAACGCUUGAAGUCAGUCGCGUCGACCGAGACUCAGCCUCGCCACGGCUUGGCGUAUUUCUCGGCCGACGGGUCAGCAUCAAUUUUGCCCCUCGGAUAAUGGCAAGGGAAAGGUGGCACCUUCACGGGUGUGUUAUAGUCCCCUGUCGCAUGCGAGGGUCGGGAUUGAGGAACGCAGCACGCGCCCUUUUGGGUGUCGGGGCCUUUUGGCUCACGCGACGUGCUUAGGAUGCUGGCGUAAUGGCUUUAAACGACCCGUCUUGAAACACGGACCAAGGAGUCCAACAUGCCCGCGAGUGUUUGGGUGGAAAACUCAUGCGCGAAAUGAAAGUGAAAGUUGGGACCUCUGUCGUGGAGGGCACCGACGCCCGGACCAGACCUUCUGUGACGGAUCUGCGGUAGAGCGUGCAUGUUGGGACCCGAAAGAUGGUGAACUAUGCCUGAAUAGGGUGAAGCCAGAGGAAACUCUGGUGGAGGCUCGUAGCGAUUCUGACGUGCAAAUCGAUCGUCAAAUUUGGGUAUAGGGGCGAAAGAC